AAAUUACUUUACACUUUGGAGUUUGUUUGUUUGUUUGUUUGUUUUUUAAGUAAAAGGACCUUUAUGGUCAGCGGAAACUUCUUGAGAAUUAUAGCUGACUCAUUGGGGGCCAGUCAGAGGCAUGUAAGCAAGUUCAAAUGUGUGUGGUUUCACUCAAAGGGUAAAGAUCGCAAUUUGGUUUCAUUAAGUAUUUCCAGGGAACAGAGAUUGUUAUUUUUGGUUUUAGUUUUGGUUUUGAAGUCAUAACCAUUAAAAAAACAGACAACUUUACUUUUAAGGAUUAAAAAAAAACAACAUUAAAUGCCAGAAAAAUUAAGUUAAAAUAAAAAUACAAGCCUAGAUUUAUGACUGAACAGGCAUGGUUCUCCCCCACUAUAGGGGCAUGUGCCCCAUCACCAAAGGGCCAGGCGUUUCCAGAUACUUGUCUGGUUUCUUUGCUUAUCUUGUCUCAAAUCCACAACUUUAGGCUUUCAGGGCAGCUCUUGUCCCUGGGUUGAACUUUCUGAAUCACUGUUGCUCCACAACGUCUCAUUAUCCAGAACGUAUUACCUCCUAGAUUGCUGUGGAUGAACGGCAAUACGGAUUUCUGUGUCCAUAUUCCCCACUUUCUGCUGUUGAAUCUUCAGAGUUGGGUAACGGUCAGUAAUGACGCCGAUGAUGAUGAUGAUGAUGAUGAUGAUGAUGAUGAUGAUAAUGAUGAUGAUGCUAAUUUUUAGAAAUUAAAAUAAGUAGUACCAUUAUUGCUAAUAGCGAUGAAUUGCUGUUAUUAAUGUUAACUUUAAAGACAUCAAAAAAUUUAUCUUGUAUCAACUUUCUCCAGCCUUUCCUUAAUAGUACUGUACUUGAUACUUGGCUCUGUACAUCUCCAUCUCUUAGGAAAUUAUAGUUUCCUAGUCUAAGGAACUGUAAGCCUCUUGUUCGUGAUUACCAAGUCAGGGUGUUAGAUGCACUGAUAGAUCGAGUCAGGACAGAAUCACGCGAGAAGACAGCCUUGAAUGUCCUGUUUACCUCUUCUUCCAUCUUGCUACUAUAUACCCAGUGGUAGCUUUUACUGUUAUAUCUUCAGAAUAAACAUAUAUCAGAGUUUUAAUUUUCCUAUUUGAUAUAGGAAUGGACUUCUUCGAGGGGUGUAAACAGACUGAUCCUCAUUAGACCCAGGGAAGGUGGGUGGUAUCUCUUUGUAGGGAGAAAAUGCAAAUUUAAACAACAUUAACAGCAAGACCUCCACCCUUUCAUAAAAGCAAGAGGAAAGAUAUCAAUAGUAAUUGCCAGAAUUAUCUUCUUGAAAACGUUUGGUUUGUGCCAAAGGCCUGAAGCAACAAGAACUUACUAAAAAGAAAGAAGAGAGCUGGCCAGGACUUCAUAAGAGCAAGCCUUGCGGUGUCUUCAUUUCUAACCUCACCCUCUCCCCUCCUGCUCUGCAUCAGCCUUGAAACCAUCAGUGAGCAGGAUCAGUGUGUGGUAUCUGAGGGAGAAGAAUGGACUAGUAUUGCAAGUGAUUCCCAUUAGAUCCGCCUGGUGGCCCAGUGAAGACCCACUCAAAAGUGUCUCCAGGUUAGGAAGUUGUGCAGCGCUUAGCAGCUCCGUGGGAAGCAUGUCUAAGACAUUUCCAGGCAGAUGCUCUCCUCCAUUCUACCUGAGCCCGUGGGUAACAACUGGGGGAAGGAGGUGCAGGAGGAACUGCGGUCUGGGGGGCUCCCAUGUGCUCUUGAUAGUGUGGAAGGCCAUUCUCAGGGAAGAACUUGUCCUAUGCUCAGGACAGACCAAAGAAGGUGCCCAAACUGUGACAUUUGGUUGGACUUCAGGCCAUACUCAACCAGGAAGCAGAGGUAAAGGCACGGAAGUUGCCCAGCUGGUAGCUACAAGUGAGAUAAACCCAAAAGGACCUGCACUGAGCUGCGUCCUAAUCAAAAUGUUAAGAGCCAAAGACAAAUAGAGAGCCAGAAAGCAAUCCAAGGGGAUGGAUGGAAGACAGUAAGGUCAGCAGCUCACUGUUAACCUUGUAGGCCCCAAGAGAGCCAUGUGCUGUUCACUGUGCACAGCAAACAAUACUUCUGUCAAGACCUUUGGGUCUGCCAAAGUAUCCAUC
rnacentral:lncRNA from 1 species